rnacentral:lncRNA from 1 species
UCAACUCUACAAAUGGGUGUGCUGUCGACUCCUCUCCCAAACAAAAUGAAUCACCAAAAUAAUUAACCACACUAAUCAUCAUCAUCAUCAUCAUCAUCAAAUCCCACCGUGAGUCGAACCUCAAACCCAAUAAUAUAGAAUGAACAAAAAUAACACCAGCAAAUUAAUUAAAACAUCAAUUAAAGAAACAACAAGAAAUUAAUGAGAAAAAAAGAACAGAUCUCAUCCGUCCGUCAAACUCCAGAUCCGAUCGACUACCGACCACCACGUGGACGAAACAACGAAUCUAGGCCAACACGACGGCGAAGAAGCUCCCCACCAAAGCGGUUCCAGCAACAGCUGCCCACCCUGGAGCGUAAGCACCGCUGGGAACGUCAGCAGCCGGCUCGGCUGCGGGCCCGGACCCGGUGCUGGGUGCAGGUGGGGAUGAGGUCGGUGUGGAGGAGAUAGGAGUCGUGGCGGGUGAAGUUGCUGGUGCAGUUGAGGUUGCAGGUGAAGGUGUAGUCGCAGUAGGUGCUGGUGCAGGUGCGGCCACGGUGGGUGUUGGUGCCGGUGUGGCUGCGGGUGGUGAGGUGGUGGGAGCGGCGGUGGGUGCAAGCUUGGGUGAAGCUGCGGGUGACUGUGCCAAACAAGAG